rnacentral:rRNA from 1 species
AGCCAGAACACAGGUGCUGCAUGGCUGUCGUCAGCUCGUGUCGUGAGAUGUUGGGUUAAGUCCCGCAACCGAGCGCAACCCUUGUCAUUAGUUGCCAUCAGUUUAGUUGGGCACUCUAAUGAGACUGCCGGUGACAAACCGGAGGAAGGUGGGGAUGACGUCAAGUCCUCAUGGCCCUUAUGGGUAGGGCUUCACACGUCAUACAAUGGUCGGUACAGAGGGUUGCCAAGCCGCGAGGUGGAGCCAAUCCCUUAAAGCCGAUCGUAGUCCGGAUCGUAGUCUGCAACUCGACUACGUGAAGUCGGAAUCGCUAGUAAUCGCAGAUCAGCACGCCGCGGUGAAUACGUUCCCGGGCCUU